AAUCAGAGAAGGUUUUGGUUUUUUAAUACUUGUUCACAAGACAGUAUGAAUACACAGGAGAUAUAUACGUGUGUGCUGUGUGCGAGUGAAGACGUCCUACUUUCCAGGAGAAUACAGAUGUUGUAACACAGUCCUGAGACCAGCAGCUGCUUUGAUCUGGGCUGACGAAACACCGGAGACGGAUUAGUCCCAGCUGCCAGCUAAUAAAUGCAUCAGUGUCUCCGUAGCAACCAUCACGUUGGUGAAGCACCAUGAAACCGGAGGAAUCUGUCUGACGCUGGCGGAGAAAAACCAACAACAGAGAAGGCGCUGUGGGGGAAUAAAAGAAAUGGAUGAGGGUGUGAAGAACAGCAGAGUGACGCAGCCUUUCUUAUUUCAGCUGAUGGAUAACAACAGCUCUCUGGAGAGCAGCCGAGAGGAUCUGGAGAAUGAGAAUGUAGAAGGCAGUACAGUGGACAAUAAAACUCCUCCUUUGUGCAUUCAUCCUGUCUGUCCUGCAUGAAUACUGCACACAGAGACAGCGCUCCCUGAUGGAUUCAUCCUUCAUCAGCUCUCUGCGUUAAAGCUGGAAUCCGGCAGGCAAGGUGACAGAGCACCUGGUGUCGUCCUCGUGUUUCACCUGUUUGUUCCUAUGGAGUGAAUCCACUGGCCACAGACAGACGGGGGGACAAAUUAAGGGGACAAACAUGAAUAAACAACAAGUGCAGAUGCCUCCAUACAGUACACAAUGGCUUCACUGAGUGUUUUCAUGGAAAUGAUGUGAAUCAUGUGCUGUGGCCUUUAAAGCCACCAGUUCUGAACGCAACUGGGUACCGCUGUAUUCAGACAGUCCACCUGCAGAUACAGCUGUUUCACUUUGUCUGUAGAUGUUUAACAGAUUAUUUAUAGAGUACAUGAGACACUUCAAUCAUACCCUAAUGGCCUAAAUCCACCGGACGCAGCUGAGAUGUACCCGUGGUGCAGAUUAUUAUUAUUAUGAUUAUAUAAAAUAUAACAGGAAAUAGUAAAAAAACAACAAUAAACACAAUUAAAGGAAACUCUUGAACUGCGUAGUCUACAGAAACAUUGAGGAAAAAAUACAAAAUUCAACAACAUCCGGACAUCUGUUGAGAUUUGGACCGAACUGACCUGGACCACUGCUGGUUUCUCUUUCUGUUAAUCUGAUUGCAACUGAACAUGUCGGUCUCAUGUCUGAAUAAGAAUCCUGGAUAGCUUCAUGUAAAGGUCAAGACAACUGUCUCUCAAGUCUAACCUGAAUGCUGGCAGAUUAAAGGUCCACUGUGUAGGUAUAACUGCAGAUUGCAACCCCUUCACAAAACCCUCUCCUUCCAAGCUAAAUACCCUAUCUA